AGUCUUUCGUUUUUGCCCCACCGACCCUAUAUAAUAGGGCGUCGGGUUUACUCGACUAUGGCGAUAAACGUUUUGCGCAAUAAACGUUCGGACCCGGGGGCAGUACCCGGCGCCUCCACCAUU
rnacentral:tmRNA from 1 species